AUGCCGCGUGUGUGAAGAAGGCCUUCGGGUUGUAAAGCACUUUCAGUCGUGAGGAAGGUAGUGUAGUUAAUAGCUGCAUUAUUUGACGUUAGCGACAGAAGAAGCACCGGCUAACUCCGUGCCAGCAGCCGCGGUAAUACGGAGGGUGCGAGCGUUAAUCGGAAUUACUGGGCGUAAAGCGCAUGCAGGUGGUUUGUUAAGUCAGAUGUGAAAGCCCGGGGCUCAACCUCGGAAUAGCAUUUGAAACUGGCAGACUAGAGUACUGUAGAGGGGGGUAGAAUUUCAGGUGUAGCGGUGAAAUGCGUAGAGAUCUGAAGGAAUACCGGUGGCGAAGGCGGCCCCCUGGACAGAUACUGACACUCAGAUGCGAAAGCGUGGGGAGCAAACAGGAUUAGAUACCCUGGUAGUCCACGCCGUAAACGAUGUCUACUUGGAGGUUGUGGCCUUGAGCCGUGGCUUUCGGAGCUAACGCGUUAAGUAGACCGCCUGGGGAGUACGGUCGCAAGAUUAAAACUCAAAUGAAUUGACGGGGGCCCGCACAAGCGGUGGAGCAUGUGGUUUAAUUCGAUGCAACGCGAAGAACCUUACCUACUCUUGACAUCCAGAGAACUUUCCAGAGAUGGAUUGGUGCCUUCGGGAACUCUGAGACAGGUGCUGCAUGGCUGUCGUCAGCUCGUGUUGUGAAAUGUUGGGUUAAGUCCCGCAACGAGCGCAACCCUUAUCCUUGUUUGCCAGCACUUCGGGUGGGAACUCCAGGGAGACUGCCGGUGAUAAACCGGAGGAAGGUGGGGACGACGUCAAGUCAUCAUGGCCCUUACGAGUAGGGCUACACACGUGCUACAAUGGCGCAUACAGAGGGCGGCCAACUUGCGAGAGUGAGCGAAUCCCAAAAAGUGCGUCGUAGUCCGGAUCGGAGUCUGCAACUCGACUCCGUGAAGUCGGAAUCGCUAGUAAUCGUGGAUCAGAAUGCCACGGUGAAUACGUUCCCGGGCCUUGUACACACCGCCCGUCACACCAUGGGNAGUGGGCUGCAAAGAAGUAGGUAGUUUAACCUUCCGGGAGGACGCUUACCAC
rnacentral:rRNA from 1 species